GACGAACGCUGGCGGCGUGCUUAACACAUGCAAGUCGAACGGAAAGGCCCUGCUUCUGUGUGGUGCUCGAGUGGCGAACGGGUGAGUAACACGUGAGUAACCUGCCCUUGACUUGGGGAUAACUUCAGGAAACUGGGGCUAAUACCGGAUAGGAGCUCCUGCUGCAUGGUGGGGGUUGGAAAGUUUCGGCGGUUGGGGAUGGACUCGCGGCUUAUCAGCUUGUUGGUGGGGUAGUGGCUUACCAAGGCUUUGACGGGUAGCCGGCCUGAGAGGGUGACCGGCCACCAUGGGACUGCGGGACGGCCCAGACUCCUACGGGAGGCAGCGGUGGGGAACAUUGCACAAUGGGCGGAAGCCUGAUGCAGCAACGCCGCGUGCGGGAUGACGGCCUUCGGGUGGUAAACCGCGUUCGCCUGUGACGAAGCGUGAGUGACGGUAAUGGGUAAAGAAGCACCGGCUAACUACGUG
rnacentral:rRNA from 1 species